rnacentral:rRNA from 1 species
GAGACUUUGAAGUAGUCCUUUUGGGGAUUAUGGAGUCGUCAGUGAAAUACCAUUCUUUACUUAUGCGUCUUCUAACCAGUAUGGAAAAACCAUAUCGAGACAGUAUCUGGCAGGUAGUUUUAGUGGGGCGCUAUCCUCCUAAAAAGUAACGGAGGAGUUUAAAGGUUCUCUAGGCGCGGAUGGAAACCGUGCCGAUAGUGUAAUGGCAUAAGAGAGCUUGACUGUGAGACGUACGUGUCAAACAGGCGCGAAAGCGGAACAUAGUGAACCGAUAGUUUGCUUUAGACGCAGCUAGAGAUUAACGGAUAAAAGUUACCCUGGG